GAAAAACUUCACACUAAGUUAACAAUUUAGGUUGGGGUGACCUCGGAGCAUAAAAAAACCCUCCGAGCAAUUACAAGCCAAGACUCACCAGUCUAAGCCACAACAUCUACUGAUCCAAAAUCUUUGAUCAACGGAACAAGUUACCCUAGGGAUAACAGCGCAAUCCUAUUUAAGAGUCCCUAUCGACAAUAGGGUUUACGACCUCGAUGUUGGAUCAGGACAUCCUAGUGGUGCAGCAGCUAUUAACAGUUCGUUUGUUCAACGAUUAAAGUCCUACGUGAUCUGAGUUCAGACCGGAGCAAUCCAGGUCGGUUUCUAUCUAUUCUACGCCCCUCCCAGUACGAAAGGACAAGAGAGGCAAGGCCUCCUUAAACCCAAGCGCC